AGAGUUGUAGCCUGGUGGUGGAGCAUUUGCCUUGCAUGUAGAAGGUCCCAAGUUCAAUCCCUGGUAUCUCCA